AAAUAAACAUUAAAGGUUUGCUUAAUAAACUGUCUUUCUAAUAAACAUUAAAGGUUUGCUUAAUAAACUGUCUUUCUAAUAAACAUUAAAGGUUUGCUUAAUAAACUGUCUUUCUAAUAAACAUUAAAGGUUUGCUUAAUAAACUGUCUUUCUAAUAAACAUUAAAGGUUUGCUUAAUAAACUGUCUUUCUAAUAAACAUUAAAGGUUUGCUUAAUAAACUGUCUUUCUAAUAAACAUUAAAGGUUUGCUUAAUAAACUGUCUUUCUAAUAAACAUUAAAGGUUUGCUUAAUAAACUGUCUUUCUAAUAAACAUUAAAGGUUUGCUUAAUAAACUGUCUUUCUAAUAAACAUUAAAGGUUUGCUUAAUAAACUGUCUUUCUAAUAAACAUUAAAGGUUUGCUUAAUAAACUGUCUUUCUAAUAAACAUUAAAGGUUUGCUUAAUAAACUGUCUUUCUAAUAAACAUUAAAGGUUUGCUUAAUAAUAUCAUCUAAUAAAAGUUAAAGUUCUAUACUGAAAAUUGUAAUCCACUUCUAAUUCGAAAUAUAGAGUUGUUCCUGAUAUUGCAACAACUAACAGCACCAACAAACCUGGUAAUUUACAAUCAAAAACUUAAAGUAUUUGAUGAUUAUUAUAUCAUUUAAAUUUCAAUUUAGAAAAUCUCAAUUAUAAAUUAUAAAUGUUAUCUUAGUUCCUAUCAUAGUAUUUAAAGGGAUCCUAAAAUUAUCUUUAAGCUAUACGGCUGUAUUCAUAAAUGGCAUAUUCCAUAUGCAAUUUUCUGUAUCGAUGUUGCAAUAUUCUUGCAAAAAAAUGGAUAUUUUUCAAACUUUAUGAUAUGCAAAUUCACUACGUUUCAUUAACUUUCAAAGAAUGACCCUGUUGAGUGAAACGAAUUCAGGGUAAAUUGGCCAUAUUUAUGAAUUGGCCAU